UACGUAGGGUGCAAGCGUUGUCCGGAAUUAUUGGGCGUAAAGAGCUCGUAGGCGGUCUGUCGCGUCUGGUGUGAAAAUCCAGGGCUUAACCCUGGACCUGCAUCGGGUACGGGCAGACUAGAGUGCGGUAGGGGAGAUCGGAAUUCCUGGUGUAGCGGUGAAAUGCGUAGAGAUCGGAAAGAACACCAACGGCGAAAGCACUCUGCUGGGCCGACACUGACACUGAGAGACGAAAGCUAGGGGAGCGAAUGGG
rnacentral:rRNA from 1 species